GGAUGCGGGUGAGGGACAGGUCUGAGGGGGAUUGGGGUGGAUGGAUUUGGGGUGAGUGGCACAGCAUGAGGGGUAUCGGGGAUGAGGGACGGGGGUGAGGGAAUUCCAGGAGAGACGAGACUGGGGACAGGCCUGAGGGCGAUCAAGGCUGAGGGACCGGGCUGAAGGCCAUAAAAGGGCUGGGGAUGAGGGACAGGGAUGGCCGGGACUGUCAGGGCUCAGCACUGAGGGGCAGCGGCUCUUCCUCCCGCGGAUCUGACUGAGGGGAGGGGAAAAAACAAAAACCCAAAAGUUUGGUUUGGUUUUGUUUUUCCGCAGGCGCCAGGCGUGGGGACGGAAGCGCGGGCGGCCGUGGGAAGCGAGAAGGAGCCGCCUGCUGACAGCGAACAGGCCCCGGCGCCUUUGUUUGCGGGCGUGUGUUCGGAGAGAAACACGGCAGCGCUGCGGGAGAAGGAGCCUGCGUGGAAAAAUAAUAUUCCCACUUCGCCGUUCGAUUGUAGGAGUCGGAAGGCGCUAGAUGAUGCUGUCAAAAGCUGCCUCAAUGACAGCUUGUAUUUGAACGUGCUGUAUGAUUUAUCAAUAAGCCCUGCCCUCUAGAUAAAGCACAGGAAGAUUCAAACUAUUCUUAACUGCCAAAUAAUUUCGAUGAGAUGAGCACAAACAAGGAACAAGUUGGUGCACCCCAUAGCUCAGACACUUUCCAUACUGAGUUUUUUUGGCUCAGGAGUCAACCAAUGCUCAGACAAGUGUAGGAUGCUGUGCUGCUCCAGUCCUUGAUUAGAUCCGAUUCCCAGUCCCCCAAAGCUGCCCAUUCCCAGUUCCCCGUGGCUGAAGCCUGUUGUGAAUGUGUCACUGCAGCCUCAGCCAGCUGGCACGUCAGCAUUUCCAUUGAAAGCCUAUUUUUAAGGGUCUGGACCUCAACCAUGGAAGACAAAUGUUUUGGAGUGUAUACCGGGAAUGUUUGUCCUUCAGAAAAUAAAAAUCAGGGACAACUUUGCAGGCUGUUGGUGAACACAGUCAUAUCCCAGUGCCUCUACUUGUGACACUGGUGUGGCCAAAUCUUCUGUGGGAUUAGAUCUGUACAUACUUCAUCAGUGCCAUCAAGCACUUAAUUUAAUUUAAAUAUAAAGAAAAUCAAGUGAGAAGUGAUUUUUCCAAGUUCUGGGAGUGCUCAACAAGAACUUGUGUCUGAAACUCCUGUGGCAGAUGCUGUUUCCUGCAUCUGACUUCUCCCAUUGCUCCAAAUAAUAACAGGCUGCAAACAAGCAUUCUGCAUCCCCAGGGAUUUGAGAAGUUCAGAGGAAAGCAAUAAUUAAAGGAGUUAGGAUUGUUAUUUGUGUCAAAGGCUAGAAAAGGGAAAUUAUUAUGUAUGUAGAUAUAAGAAAAAGGAAAUUCAGAAUUUCUGUUACUCUAGGUCUCACAACCAAACAAGCAAAAGGCAUUCAAGAAAAGGGCAACAA